GCCUCCGUAGCUCAACAGGACAGAGCGUUCGCCUUCUAAGCGAAUUGUUGCGUGUUCGAGUCACGCCGGGGGUGCCA
rnacentral:tRNA from 1 species